rnacentral:rRNA from 1 species
GACGAACGCUGGCGGCGUGCUUAACACAUGCAAGUCGAACGAGAGGACAAGAGAAGCUUGCUUCUUUUGGAAUCGAGUGGCAAACGGGUGAGUAACACGUAAACAACCUGCCUUCAGGAUGGGGACAACAGACGGAAACGACUGCUAAUACCGAAUACGCUUGGGAGACCGCAUGAUCUUCCAAGGAAAGGGUGGCCUCUACUUGUAAGCUAUCGCCUGAAGAGGGGUUUGCGUCUGAUUAGGCAGUUGGUGAGGUAACGGCCCACCAAACCUACGAUCAGUAGCCGGUCUGAGAGGAUGAACGGCCACACUGGAACUGAGACACGGUCCAGACUCCUACGGGAGGCAGCAGUGGGGAAUCUUCCGCAAUGGGCGAAAGCCUGACGGAGCAACGCCGCGUGAGUGAUGACGGCCUCGGUU